rnacentral:rRNA from 1 species
UACGAAGGGGGCUAGCGUUGCUCGGAAUCACUGGGCGUAAAGCGCACGUAGGCGGAUCGUUAAGUCAGGGGUGAAAUCCUGGAGCUCAACUCCAGAACUGCCUUUGAUACUGGCGAUCUUGAGUUCGAGAGAGGUGAGUGGAACUGCGAGUGUAGAGGUGAAAUUCGUAGAUAUUCGCAAGAACACCAGUGGCGAAGGCGGCUCACUGGCUCGAUACUGACGCUGAGGUGCGAAAGCGUGGGGGAGCAAACAGG